ensembl:lncRNA novel transcript
GGGGGCGGAGUCGCCAUCUUGGACUCGGUUCGACCAGGUCUGGUGACCGGCGACGAGGGGCCGGGCUCGGCGCCGGGGGUCGGGGUGAGUGGGUGCGAGCCGUGGGAGAGAGGGGGGGCGCUGGCGGCUCUCUUCGUCCGGCGCGGGCUGUGAGAAGUGAGCAGGGCGAGGCGCGGGCGACAGCGGGGCGCGAGGCCCGUGCAUGUGUGUGCGCACGGAGGUGGGGAGACGGUGAUCCCCGCCCGCCCUGCGGAAGGCCCGGCGGUUCUACCACCCGGCAGCUCGGCCAGCCCCGAGUCGCGUGGGGGCGGAGCUGCCCGCGGCCACCACUUCCUGAGUGCCGGGGAUACCCUUCCCGGACGUCACGGAGGAGCCGAGGCGGCGGUGGCGGCCCGGGGCUCAUCCUGCACUUGCAUCACGGGUGCAGCAGCAGCUGCUCUGCUCCUUUGUGGCUUUUUGCCCCGUUGAGUAACUGCUUUGUUAACUGAAAAUACCAUGACGGGCCAGUGUGAUCACCAGCUCCAGAUCUCAAAGAAAGUGAAGCUGUCAGGCAAGAAGAGGGAGACUCCCCCAGCCGGCUGCGAUGGUAUCUGGUGGGUGGAUGUGUAGAGAAGCACUUGACAGUUUCCACGUAUUACUUCUUGCCUAACUCUUCACCCCCAAGAAGAUUUAAAAAUACUUUUAUUUCCAUGCUGUAAAAAUUUCAUUUGUGUUCUGCACCUCCCUCACCCCCCUAAUCCUCCUUCAAUUAAAACUCUCAUGUAGAACUGGAAUCACUGUAAGCAGGAACCCUAAAAUUAGGUACAGUUUUUAGGAAACAUGACAUCUUUCAAUGAAUUUAUUCAAUAAACUACAUUUUCUAAAUGUUAA